rnacentral:rRNA from 1 species
UUAAAGAAAGCGUAAUAGCUCACUGGUCGAGUCGGCCUGCGCGGAAGAUGUAACGGGGCUAAACCAUGCACCGAAGCUGCGGCAGCGACACUAUGUGUUGUUGGGUAGGGGAGCGUUCUGUAAGCCGUUGAAGGUGUGCUGUGAGGCAUGCUGGAGGUAUCAGAAGUGCGAAUGCUGACAUAAGUAACGAUAAAGCGGGUGAAAAGCCCGCUCGCCGGAAGACCAAGGGUUCCUGUCCAACGUUAAUCGGGGCAGGGUGAGUCGACCCCUAAGGCGAGGCCGAA